GAUGAACGCUAGCGGCAGGCCUAAUACAUGCAAGUCGGACGGGAUUUGGGAGCUUGCUCCUAAUGAGAGUGGCGCACGGGUGCGUAACACGUAUGUAACCUAUCUUAGUCAGGGGGAUAGCCUCUCGAAAGAGAGAUUAAGACCGCAUAACAUUAUUGAGUGGAAUCAUUUAAUAAUCAAAUAUUUAUAGGACUAAGAUGGGCAUGCGGAACAUUAGCUAGUUGGUAGGGUAACGGCCUACCAAGGCUACGGUGUUUAGGGGAUCUGAGAGGAUGGCCCCCCACACUGGUACUGGGACACGGACCAGACUCCUACGGGAGGCAGCAGUAAGGAAUAUUGGUCAAUGGGCGGAAGCCUGAACCAGCCAUGCCGCGUGCAGGAAGACGGCCCUACGGGUUGUAAACUGCUUUUAUACGGGAAUAAACCUACUUACGUGUAAGUAGCUGAAUGUACUGUAAGAAUAAGGAUCGGCUAACUCCGUGCCAGCCGCCGCAGUAA
rnacentral:rRNA from 1 species